UUCCCUCUCCCUCUCUCCUUCACAGAGACUGGCUCCGGCGAACGGAUUCCAUUUUUCCGCUGGGUCCUACCGGCCAGAUUGUUAAUUUUCAGACGCUCUCAAGUUCACAAGAGGUCACCUUUAUUUCCACGAGGGACGGUGCAGGAAUGAAGGGUAGCAGACCCCUUUAUCAGACCUCCCAAGUUGCAACAUAGAAUGCUUCUUCGCUACUGGAAAAGCAAAAUGACUGCAGUGACAGGGUAGCGGGUGUCCUGCUGUGACAGCCCUUACUGCUCAUUCCAGCCCUGGUGAUGGGGCACGCACUGUCUCUGCCUUACAUUCAUUCUGAUCCAAUCAAACAGUUUGAGCUUUAACUAAAUAAU